rnacentral:misc_RNA from 1 species
GAUGAAGAACGUAGCGAAAUGCGAUAAGUAAUGUGAAUUGCAGAAUUCAGUGAAUCAUCGAAUCUUUGAACGCACAUUGCGCCCGCCAGUAUUCUGGCGGGCAUGCCUGUUCGAGCGCCAUUUCAACCCUCAAGCCCAGCUUGGUGUUGGGGAUCGGCACAGGCGCCCUCGGGCGCCAGCCGUCCCCUAAAUCUAGUGGCGGUCCCGCUGCAGCCUCCUCUGCGUAGUAGUUUUCUCCUCGCAAGGGCAGCUCGGUGGCGACCUCGCCGUAAAACCCCCAACUUCUGAAAGGUUGACCUCGAAUCAGGUAGGAAUACCCGCUGAACUUAAGCAUAUCAAUAAGCGGAGGA